rnacentral:rRNA from 1 species
GAUGAACGCUGGCGGCGUGCCUAAUACAUGCAAGUCGAGCGAAUGGAUUAAGGGCUUGCUCUUAUGAAGUUAGCGGCGGACGGGUGAGUAACACGUGGGUAACCUGCCCAUAAGACUGGGAUAACUCCGGGAAACCGGGGCUAAUACCGGAUAACAUUUUGAACCGCAUGGUUCUAAAUUGAAAGGCGGCUUCGGCUGUCACUUAUGGAUGGACACGCGUCGCAUUAGCUAGUAGGUGAGGUAACGGCUCACCAAGGCAACGAGGCGUAGCCGACCUGAGAGGGUGAUCGGCCACACUGGGACUGAGACACGGCCCAGACUCCUACGGGAGGCAGCAGUAGGGAAUCUUCCGCAAUGGACGAAAGUCUGACGGAGCAACGCCGCGUGAGUGAUGAAGGCUUUCGGGUCGUAAAACUCUGUUGUUAGGGAAGAACAAGUGCUAGUUGAAUAAGCUGGCACCUUGACGGUACCUAACCAGAAAGCCACGGCUAACUACGUGCCAGCAGCCGCCGUAA